AGAAGACGUGUCCAGAAAGUUCUAGCAGGAGAAGGGGCAGACGGGCAGAGGCCUAGCGCAGGUCACCUCUCACUGAGAAGGCAGCGAUCCGCCUCCAGAUGAAUGAGGACCAGAGCUGACCAUCACCAGCGUGACGUCGCCGGUGACCCCCAAGAGCACAGUUUUGGUGACAAGCCCUCACUAUGGAAAAUAUGAAGAGGAUAUCAAUACAUCAUUAGCACAAUUGGCAAUCUCAUCAGUCCUUUGGACUGCACUGAAAAUAAUACUGGAAAUAUUAUUAAAUGCACAACGAAGGUAACCCACGUGGCCUUGAAGCAAACUACUGUCAACCACAAGUUGGCAUUUACCAUGGGUGCCCACCAUCUACUUCUACAAGGAUGAAAUCUCUGCUGUAGCUGCUGACCUCCAACACCCCAGGACGGCGUUCAGGGUGGAGCGCAGAGAUGAGGCCCUCUAUGCUCCUAGAAAACUGGCAGAACAGGUCUUCAGGCAGCUAGAUAUUCUCAGGAGCUGAUUCUAGGAGCCCAGUUACUGUAUCUCCUUAUGUCUAGAAAGGCACCAAAACCUUUCAUGGUGACGACUGUUUCUCCUGACUUGCAGAAGCUUCAUGAGACAAGCGGAAACAUUCUACAAAGAAGUAUGCAUUUGACUGCAUAUACUCCCCCUUCACCAAAAUCACAUACACACCAUCUUUCCCCCACCUCACUGGAGAAGUUUCUCGGAGCUACUGAGUUGCUGUCUCUCAGGCUGAGUCCUCAUAUUGCCCCAAAUAAAA